rnacentral:rRNA from 1 species
AUGAAUCUCUUAUUCUGGAACUACCGCGGGAGGGGGGACCGCCGGACAGUUCAUGAGGUUGUGGCCCUCUCAAAAGCCAAUAACCCCAAGCUUCUUUUCCUAUGAGAGACAAGACAAGCUUCAGAGGAAGUGGAGAAAUUACGUUAGAGACUCGGUCUUAAGGGUUUUCAUGGAGUUAAUAGUGAUGGCAGAAGCGGUGGACUUGCGUUAUUCUGGGAUGAAUCCAUUGAUAUUGAUGUUCUUGAUGCAUGCAACAGGUACAUUGAUGUACGAAUACGUGAUGGGGGCUCGGGUAUUUCAUGGAGAGCAACCUUUGUGUAUGGUGAGCCAAGAGUGGACAAUCGACAACAGAUGUGGGAUCAUCUUAGCAGACUGAGAGCUAUUUCUUAG